GCCCGUGUAGCUCAGUGGAUUAGAGCACUUGUCUUCGGAACAAGGUGUCGGGGGUUCGAGUCCCUUCACGGGUACCA
rnacentral:tRNA from 1 species